CUCUCUCUCUCGUUCUUGCUCUCUGUCUCGCUCUUGCUCUCGCUCACAUGCCCAUUAGAACUCCACCCGUAUGAAUCUCUCCCUCAAUCUCUCAAUCUCUCUGUUUCUGUCUCGAUGUCUCAAUCUCUCUUCCUCUCUUGAUCUCUCAAUCUCUCUUUCGUAUGAUCUUGCUCGCUCUCUGUAUCUGUGUACAUCUCUCGCAGCGAUUUGCGCGAUUCAUCAGUAUCAGGUUGUAGGGAGAGCUCUUCCUAUGGAGACCGAUCAGCAUCCGAAGAUCUACCGCAUGAAGCUCUGGGCCACCAACGAGGUUCGGGCCAAGUCCAAGUUCUGGUAUUUUCUGAGGAAGCUUAAGAAGGUGAAGAAAAGCAAUGGUCAAAUGCUCGCUAUCAAUGAGGCAUAUGUCUAUCUAUCUCAUAGAGUCCUAGACGAAAUUAGAGUUGAUGUUGCCUCUCAGUUAUCAGCGGGCAUCCAAAGGAAGAAUAGCUGGAAAGAAGACCGAGGAUGCUAACAGGCAUGCUAUGUUGUGGUUGUCCAACAAUUUCUACUCAAUUUGAUACAUAAAUGUCAAUCACACAACAUUCCAAAGGACUCCUUGAAAGUGACAGUUCUUGGGAUUUCUUGGAAAUAGCUUUGCUUGUAUGCUUAUGUGCAGUUCAUAACCAUGGUUUUGAAAUGUUAUUUUCAUUCUCGGCAAUAGUGCAGCAUGCCCCUUGCCUUCCAUUUGGAUUUAGCAUCUUGAAAGCUGGUUUGAAUAAAUCAGUUCUAUUGUCAGUUUAUGCCUCAUCAACCAUCAGAGACAGUCAUACCGAUGGUUCUUAUGGUAUGACUUUAUUCGAAGUUUCACGGACUAUUUUGGAAUGACUUUUUAUCUUUAUCUUUGUCUUUGACUUCAGUCGGCAAUUUUAUUUAAAGAUUUGGUAUCAUUUUCACCACAAAAUGUUUGUUCCAAUGAAGUUGAAAUAUUACUUGGUAUAUCAAAAACUGAAAAGGGUGGUUGUUAGACUUGAAGUUGAAAUAUUACUUGG